ACAGGAAAAAAUAAAAGACAGGAGCAGAGCGGCGGGUGCUCUCCGGCGGGAGGAGGAGCAAAUGAUGGUGGCGCAGCCUUCUUCCUCCUCCCCGCCCCCACAUUUGCCAGCCAGCGCAGGCCGCGUGGGCUCGGUGGCCGGCGAGCAGGCUAAGACGCGCCGCCGUGCCACGCCGACCGACGGCCUAGCGCGCGAUGCCGUCCGGCCCGGGUGGACCGCCGGAGCGAGAGCUUCUCAGAGGUGCGUGCUCCUCUAACUGUGAAUCGACUUAGUUGUUUUGUUUCUCAGAGGUGGGUGCCUUCUGCUAACGAAACCUCGACGGAGAAUGCCCGUGAGCAGCGAGCCAGAGUGGGCCACAAGGUGUUUGUGGGAAUUCCUGCAGGAAGAGACCAGCCACUGCCAUGUCAUUUCGAUUUGCACAAAUCAACAUUUUAUCUUUUUAAUACCCCUCGAAAGGGAUCUUCAUGGGUGCUGCUCUGCUCUCCUGAAAGCUAGUUUGAACAGAGUUCAAGGAGCAGUGCUAUCAGCAGAUUGCAGAUCGGAUCGCGCCCUCAUCUUGCUUUCAGCCUCUUGCUCUCUGGGCUUCACCUGCUAUUUGAUGAACUGAAGAACCUCUGCUCUGCAAAAAAACACACAUUCUCCUACCAAACUUCCCUAGUUCUGUUAGCGAAUGCGUUGCACACCGAGACUUGGGGAUAAGACGGAUGACAGAGUGUUUAUAACCCAAUAAAGAGGCGGCACGUAACCUUAGUUUUGUUAACAGUUCACAUUGAUUCUCCUACAAAUUUUUCUUGUUUCUGGACCGAUGUCACUAGUUUAGUCACAGGGUAUAUUGCACCAGUACAGUUUAAGCAUUCUGAAUCAAUGUGAUUGGAUGUCUUUUUUUUUCUUUCCAGGUAAAGGUAACCAUUCUGUACAUUUUCUAAUGUGCUUUGAAGUCGAGCCGAAAAAGAAUGUAAUUUGAAGUUACUUUUCCACAUGAUUUCCGUCAGACUUCACAAACAUUGUUUAGUCUGACACAGUAAAUAAACUGACGUAUCCAGUAACUCCAUAGUACUUAUAAAAAGCUCCAUAGUAACUAAGAGACAUAUUGCAUGCAAAAUUAAGAAAUAUACAAUUCUACUAUCCUUUUUUUUGUAGCAUACCGAAUUUUAACUGGUUAACUUGCCUUCUUUCAUGCAUCCAAAUUUCUUGGUGAGAAGGGUCUUUAAUAAGAACAUUUCGACAUCUCCCAUUUUUCUGUGGGAGCUACUGGACUUGAAAUACAUUACCUAUAUUAAGAAAAAGAUCCUUGUUCUUCAAGACAAAUACCAGUUUCUUAUCUGGUAUACUGUUGUAAAAAGUAUCCAUGACAUAUGCAGAAAUUAGCCUGCCAGGUACUAGCGUCCCUUUAGUGCUGUAAUGCUCAUGGUAUUUGCAGAAUUCACAGUAUUUUCUGCUUCUCCAUCAGCACCAUAGUUAUUUUCUGCAAAAUACAUAGGCUCUUUUGGAGGUGGAAGUAAAAUGUCUCCAUUCUCCAGAAAGGACAUGAUUGAUGACACGAGUGGCCGCGCAUUUGGGCUGUCUUGAACACACAAGAGUCCGAUAUGGAUGCACCGUAUAGUUUCAUUAAAUGAACAGCUCCCCACAAUUGACGAGUCAACAAAAUCCUUCGUGUCCCCAUCCUUCCAUAAGCUCCAUGCCUGCAUCCAUUCUUAUCCCUUUCAGGAUGCAUAUAUUUACUGUAAUUACAAAAAUUCAAACAUGCCAUAGUACGUACAUAGGCUAUAAUGCUGGAGAAGUCUGCUUUUAGGUGCACAGAGCUGAUCUUUGAGCCACUCACAAUCUCUAGAAGUAAAACCCCAAAGCUGUAUACAUCAGACUUGACAGAAAACACUCCUUUCAAAGCAUAUUCAGGUGACAUGUAACCGCUGUUUGAAGCACAUCCCAGUUAGGAGCAUCGGACAGAAUUUUGGUCAAGCACAAGAAUAAUGUAUAAAGAUCACUCAUGCAGUAUAUCACUUACUAUGUGCCAACAACGCGGUUGGUAUUUUCUUGCUGCUGAUUUCCGCCAAAUAUCCUUGCCAUACCAAAAUCAGAUAUCUUAGGGCUCAUUUCAGCAUCUAAUAAUAUGUUGCUUGCUUUGAGAUCCCUGUGGAUUAUCUUCAACCUUGAAUCUUGAUGGAGAUAAAGAAGUCCUCUAGCUACCCCUUUGAUUAUCUCGAAUCUUAUUGGCCAAUCAAGCAACUGUUUUAGUGUGGCAUCUGCAUCAAUAGUAUUAAUUGAGGGAUAACAUCAGUCAUUCUGGAUGAUCUAAUUAUUUACUGAAAUUUGGCAAGACGUAAGCAGAACAUACCAAAAAGCAUGGCGUCCAGACUUUUCUUAGGUAAGUAUUCGUAUAUCAAUAGUUUCUCAUCUCCAUGGAUGCAGAAACCGAGAAGUCUAACCAAGUUUUUGUGCUGCAACUUCGCAAUGAGUAUUACUUCAUUUGUGAACUCCAGUACCCCUUGGCCAGAACCCUUACUAAGCCUUUUCACAGCAAUUUCUGUACCAUCUUCUAAUGUCCCCUGGACACUUGAUAGUUUUAGGUCAAACAAGACGGAAAUACAGUUAUGCAGCUCUAUAAGAGAAACUUUCACAUUACCUUGUAAACAUUGCCAAAACCUCCAUGUCCAAGCAUGUUGGAGUUAGAGAAGUUGUUUGUUGCAAGUACAAUUUCUUUGAAGCUAAUAAAAGGAUAUUUUAAGUUUCCAUCAUGAAGUUCAACAGAAGUGCUUGAAGUUCCUGACAUCAGGUUCUUCCAAAUUUUCUUGUUUCUUUGUUUGCCUAUCGGGAAAAUUGAUGCAAACAUUAUGAUAAAGGAACAUAUAUAGUACAUAGACGGCGCAAACAUGCUUGAAGGGAAAUACACAGAGAAAAGUAUGGAGCUGUGUCCUACCUCCCAAGUUGCAUAUCCAAACAAGGCACACACAUAUGGUUAUGAGCAAACUUGACGCAAUUGGCAGUGUGAUUUUUAAAACAGUGCUCUUCCGCUUUUUAUCUGCCAAAAUUCAGUCUGUAAGCAAUCAUGAUCUAAACAUUUGCUAAGUAGUUAGUUUCACAAGCCAAUUUUUUCUUACAAGUAUGAACUACAUACACAUUAUCUUGACUCUCAAGGAAUCUAUGUCUCACAUGAACAAUAGCAUCACGAGUAUGGUAACAUUUGGAACAUACAAAAUUUAUGCUUGAUACCUAAAAUUAAAAUCCUGCACACCAUCUUGUGUUGAACUGGAUGGAGUGGUUGGCAAGCCCAAGCUUCUUAUACAAUAUUAUCAGAUAGCAUGUAUAUCUUGUAUAUUAUCUUGGAUUGUAUGAACUUCUUUAAGCAAUACAUUUUCUAUUAAUAGGAAAUAGAUAGCAACACAAAUUGAAGUCCAAAGAAAUACGAGUCAAACCAGGGUGAUGGCACCGUACAUUCACGGUCCUGCCCAUAUGAGCUAGGCUCACUUCCUAUACAUUGACUGAGAUUGGAUAUAUAUAGACUUCAGAACAACUGUGUUCGCGGCUGGACAAAUGUUUCCAGACACCUCAGGUGUCUGAAACAUGUAUUAGAAGCAGUUCAUAUUAUUCAGAUGAAUGUGUUUUACAUACUAACUAACUUUAAAAAACUUGAGCUUCAGUAUUGCCAACUCUUGCAUGCUCAUAUUUUCAUUCUGCAUCCAAUGGCUGCUAAUCUGCACCCUCCAAUUGGAUAAGCCAUUAUGUUUUCAUAUAAAGAAGAUUGUAGUGAUUCACAGACAUCUUAUAUGCUUAUUUGCCGUCCACUAUUAAUUUAAACCUUACUUGUACUGACAUUGUAGAUAGCACUAAGUGGUAUAUUUCUGGAGCUCCACUUAACCCGCAAAAUAGAGGCUAUACUGUAUAUCUACUAACGCAAGCAGAGAAACAGAAACAGUAAACUGUACCCUUCAAUCCAUUAAUCCGAAUGUAGAGGUUUUCUCCUUGUGCAUGGAGCUUCUCGGUGUCAAUCAAAUCUCCAAUCCAUAAUAGGCACCUAAUUCCAUCCCCAUUGAUAGCAUUGGUGCUCAUAUUGGUGUAAGCAUACGCCGUGCAGGAGCAGUUGCUGGUGCAUUCUGCUAUGCAUUCAUCUAAGCUUCUAUUCUUGACAUGCAAGAACUGGUUGGGAACCUUCAUGGUUGGCAUAUUUAAGAAGCCAUCCUCUUGACCACAUCUUAGUGAUUCCGUCCGGUGGCAUCCCUGUGAAAACCUGUGGGCCGUCCAGUCUUGUUUGUUGUUUGGCUCAAAGCCAUCAAGACACUUGCAUGCCACAAUAGGCUGUGUGUUGUCGCAGUAACCAAAUGGACCACAGUAUCCAAAUUUGUUGCAGUCCUGGUUAGGUUCUGACCCCAGGUCAGUCCAUUUGGACAUGUUGCUAUUCCAAACUCGUGUCUUUAUCUUGCCUGAACUGUCCAUCUUCACUAGCACAACUGAGGAUACACUUGGUACUGGUAAUCCAAAGGAAAUGUAGACCUCAUCAUCUAUGGUUUGCAUUGUUAAGUAAAAUGUGGACUUGAUACUCUUGAUAUACUGCCCGACUACCAAAUAGUUAUUCCAUACUGCACUUCGCCAGUAUGGUUUUGAGCCUUUCCAUACAUAACGAACCAGAAACUCAUUAGGGUCUGCACCAUAUGAGAAGUUGCCCGGGAAUGGGUCUUGGGAGUUUCUCCAAGAGAUGAGCCGUUGUAGUGCAUGCGUCUUGUGGGUGACUCUGAGGUUCAUGCCUGGAAGAAGAGUGUCGGUCGGGUAAUCGAAGCUUUGCCAUAAGAUGUUGCCCUGUGAUGACCGAAGGAUAAAAUUCCCAUUGUUUUCAAGCGUGGCUUCUCCACCAGUCGCCUCUGACGAUGAAUUUCUUGUGGCGCUGAUGUUUGUUGUCCACAGAAGCUGGCCGUUGGUGCCUGACAAGGCGAUAUCGGAUCCGUUUGUGAAGGCCAGUGUUGCAGAAGAAGGAUCAGCUAUCGGCAUAGCACGGUUGGCCACCCACACAAUGUUGUCUUCGGGUAUAUUCUUGUACCAUAUGCCGACAUAGUAUUGUUUUGUGCCGGAGUUGGGCAGGGAGAAGAAUCCCAGGGCAAAAGUUCCGCCGUUGGAGGUGAUGGUGCUUCCAGCAGAAAGCGGCUUGUCGGGAAGAAGACGGCUGCCGGAUGAUGCACAGAAUGGGAAUAACCAAAAUGACCAACAAACAAGGCAGAUGAUUGUGUGUAUGGGAAGGGGAUCCAUUGCUGUAACAAACUAUGGAACUGGGAUACGGAAGCAACGAAGUGGAUGGUUGCCUUGGAGAAUGCACAUCAGAACUCUGGGGAGAGGCAGAGUCAGUCAAGCAUUUUAUUUGUGUGUUUUCUUUCACAGGACGCUUCUGGGAACAUUGGAAGUAGUCAAGGAGAGAUAUUUCUAGGAAGUUAAAAUGUUGGGUUGUGGUUGAUAUCAUCUGGACUAGUCUUAUCAUCUGGAAGAUUAAGCAUUUACUUUUCUUUUGGGUGUGACAGCUGGAUUUUCUUGUUUGAAUGUACUGGUUACUAUAAUUUUCGUUGGAUUGCAUAUGUUUUAACAGAACAAACCCUCAUAUCUUUUGUGCAUAUAUAUACAUGAAAUUGCAGGUAAAUGUCAACAUCAGUGGUGCAAUGUCUUCCCUUUAUGAAUUUGAACUUGGCAAGUUAAAAAACAUGGAUAGAUCAGCUGAUUAAGAAGCACAUAUUUUCUUAUUGUUCUGGGUUCAUAAGAACAUCAUUAGUGUUAGGAAAGCAACUUAUCUAUAUUGAAGGCCCAAGGGGCAUAUAUAUAUUACACAUGACUUGACGUGCAAGGAAAGUAAACGUAGACUAAUAAGGACUCCUAGACUAAUACUAAUAGACUAAUAAGGACUCCUAUACUCCUAGACCAAUACUAAUACUUCCUAUCCCCCCCCCCACCCUCAAAUGCAAAGCGUAUGCAAUAACAUUGCAUUUGAAGAAGUGUAAUGCUAAAAAAAAUGAUAAUCCAAAUCCGCGUCUUGAGAGUGUCGUCGUAGCAUGAAGAGUCUUCAAAACUUGUCGAGUCGCCGAAGGAGAUAACGAAGAGAUGACACAUCAGAGGUAGACACCGCAUCACUUGAAAAUACAAGAGAAGUAUCAAGAGAAGAUGGGUUGUCAAAAGAAGAUGGCACAUCAAGAGGAAGACACCGAAGAGAUGGCACAUCAGAGGAAGACACCGCAUCACUUGAAGAUACAACAUAAGUAUCAAGAGAAUAUGGGUUGUCAAAAGAAGAUGGCACAUCAAGAGAAUAAAGCAUUGUGCAGAAAAUCAUAGUCCACGACAACCGUCGGCGAAAGAAGCUCGGCGGAUAAGGCACGAUGGACGUAGAUCGACAAUGCAAAAGAAGUCCAGAAAAUCCUAUAGAAAACAACAAGGGCAAAUAGGCCACAAAAGUUGCAUAGAAAGGAUCAGGACCAAAGAAAAGGCCGACGGACUAAGGUAUGGUGGACUCGCAUGGCAUGAGAAAACACAAAAUAUCAACGGUUUUGGUGGACGCAACGGAAGAGAAAAAAUAAUAUCAUGGCGGCGAAGGCCAAAACAGCAGAGUAGUAGCAGCAGGAAGUAGCUAGCAGUAGCAGCACGUAAGCAGCUAGCAACAGGUAGCAUGCACCACGUAGAGGAGCAAGCGCGUGAGCAGGCAGGCAGCAGCCGUCGACUUCGAUCGGACCAGGAGAGUCAUUCUCCAGAUUUGGGAGCAACGACCUGAGACCAGAUUUGGAGCAGCGACCUGGGCAUCCAAACAAAAGCAGCGGCAGCACAACAAGCAGUUCACCAGAUCGGGAGCUGGGAAUCUCCAGCGAAUCAACUGCAGCCUGAUGGAUGGAUGAAGAAACGUCAGCAUGUUCGAUCUGGAGACCUUGACCUUCGGUGGCUCUGCCCGAUCUGGAUGGAAGAUCGCCAGGCGGCCCAACCAGAUGGAGGCAAGGCGUACACCCACGGGAUCCAGCAGGCGGGAGCAUUGAGCCAGCAGCCGCACAUACUGUAGCAGUCCAAAACUUGGCUUGGAGCGGCACAGUCCAAAACUUGGCUUGAAGCGGCACAGACCAAGCUAGAGAAGUCCAGGGUGGACAGAGCAUGCAGGGAGCAGCAGUGCAGCAGCGGCUGCCUGGAGAUGCGGCCUGCUGAUGCCAGGAGCAGCAGCCUAGGUUCGCCUUGGCGGUGGAGCGACUGGCCCAUAGAGAAGUCUGCUGUGGCCAGCAGAGGCAACGAGCAGCGGGAGCCGGGAGCGCUGAGGAACACCGACGGCGGUCCUGUAGAGACGCUAAUCCAGGUGGAGUCGAUCUGGGCCAGCAGUGCGGCAUGAUCUGCACAAUAAGAUCUCGAUCUGGACGAUGUGGCUUCGAGUUGAAUCGAUCUGAGCAACGACCUAGAGCAGCAGGAGACGGGUGAGCAGCGGCCAGAUUUGUAGGUGCAGACCGGAAAAAAAAUCGAUCGUGAUCGAGAGAGAGGAUUCGAUCGGUAGAGAGGACGAGUUGCAGCGUCCGGAGACCUAAACCUAGGCUCUGAUACCAUGUUAGGAAAGCAACUUAUCUAUAUUGAAGGCCCAAGGGGCAUAUAUAUAUUACACAUGACUUGAGGUGCAAGGAAAGUAAACAUAGACUAAUAAGGACUCCUAGACUAAUACUAAUAGACUAAUAAGGACUCCUAGACCAAUACUAAUACUUCCUAACAAUUAGACCCUGACUGGGUGCACAAAGCGACUUGUGCUUGCUGCUUAAAAAUUGUGUUAGGAUGUGAGUUAAAUACCGUGGGUGGAAUAGUGUAUUUAUCUCUGUGCUUAUAUAAUUUUGCCAGCCAAGCAUUUGAGUGCGCAGUCAUGCCUGUAUUUGUGCCCCUAGCUUUGCAGAAAAGGAAAAACUGAAAUUUUUAGCUGUCAUGUGCAAAUAUAUAUAUCUGAAAAGAGCAUCACCCGUUUAGUGUCUUCUCAUGCUUCUCAUUAUGUUAUUGCAGAUGGUUACAGUGCAUUCCCUCCAUCAUGAAGGUAUAACUCAGAUUUUUUUUAUUUUUUUUGCACUCUGGGAGUUGAAAGCAUAACCAUAUACUCGUUGAGAUGGCAAGGCUGAAGAAACCCACUGUAAGAAGCAUGCAUGGGUUAUAGCCACUCAGAGGUCAAUUUUUUACUGAGUUGUUUCAACAUAUAUACUUAUGCCCGACUGAUUAGGAUAUCGAUCUGCAAUGAUUAUCUGAUCUUAUUUUGCUGAGGCAUAUGGCGCUAGAAUUACCAUUUGCUUUUUACAGCAAAUGUCCAGGAUGUUGAUAAGCUCUUUUUGUAGAGUGUAAACUAAUAAGCAUGCUUAUCUAGCACUGCAGAUAUGGCAUGGCUGAUUCUCUAGCUUCAGAGAUCGUUCUUGGCAACGGGCAUGGGUUUGCUGCUGAUCUAUAAGUGUUUACCUAUCACUUGUGCAAGAUCUUCCAAAUUGUGCAUGUAUUCAAUCAUAUAUUUCUAAAAAACUCAGAGAGUACGCCCAUUUCCUUAAGUGUUUUCCUUUUAGUGCCGAAGCACAUGAUUAUCAAAAAUACGAAACUUAAUCUCGUAAAACAGACACAGUGGCACCUAUAUUCUGUUGUUCUACAGUUUCUUCCUUUCAGAUAACAAAAGUUGGGCAUAACGUUUUGGAUCACGAAGGCUUUGUAUUCCUGAUUUUGUAUGUCAGUUCAUUCUACUUGCUUGCAACUGUUAAGAUUUUGUAUUUUACUGUCUUGCUGCAUAGACUUUUUUUGCAGCAAAGUUUUCAGAUGUGGUGCUAAAAUAUGGGCAUUUGAGUCAUGCUGCCAUGAGAAGAGAGUUAUUAGAUACAUUAGCCAAGCAGAGGGUUAGUAAAGUUUACAAAAAAACCAUAAGCUUUCUUUGCUCGCGCAGCGUAGAUUCCUGUACUGAUAUAUAGUGCCAAGUCUUAUUCCUGACUAACCAGAGUACACACGAAGUCAUGUAUUGAUGAUUACGUCUUGUAAUCGGUUCAUGUUGUUGCCAGUUUCCACGCGAGAAAAUGAGAUUUAGAAAGAUGUUUCAUUUUCUCUCUUGUAGUCGUGUAACUAACAUGUCCUCCUGCCUUUGCAUUGCGUGCAGCCCGAGUGACAGACAUGUGCUCCCAUAGCAAAGCAAGGCAGGCUCCUGACUGUGUCGGGUUCCCUUGCCGGCCUCACAUUUGCCAUCCGGUAUAUAGGCUGCACAGGCUCGGGCGGCAGAUGCGGAUGGCGAGCAGGCUAAGGUGUGACGUCGCGCUAACGGAGCAGGCUAAGGUGUGACGUCGCGCUGACGGCUUAGCGAGGCCGUCCGGGUGGAGCGCAGGAGUAAGGGCUUCUCAAAGGUGUGUGCUCUCAAUGUCAAUGGAGCCAUACGACGUCAGUUGUUUCUUACACCUAUGCAAUGUGAAUCAACGAAAUCAUAUGCCCUUAGACCCUUGUUACGAAAUCUCGAUUCGGACGAUGCCCAUGAGCAGUGAGCUAGAGUGGGUGCAAGGUGUUUGUGAAAAUGCCUGGAAGAAGAAACCAGCUACUGGCUUAUUUUUUGGAUUUCACAAAUCGGCAGCUAUGAAAGGAAUCUUUACGGUGCUCCUGUGCUCCCAUAAAAGCGUAAAACGAUUUCAAGAGUAGAGAUAGAGAGAGCAAGAGAGUAUUAGGUAGUUGAUCAAUGACUCUUUGAAGCGGCUUGUGCUAGUUAUCAAAAACCCAAUAAAGAGGCGACACAUUGUUCAGGGUUCACAUUCUUCUACAAAAGUUUCUUGUUUCUGGACCCGUGGCACUAGUUUAAUUAAGAUUUAUACUAUAUGCUUUAAGCACUGUGAAUCAAUGUGACAAGAUGUCCCUUUUUCUAGCUAAGCCAUGUGUAUAUUUUCUACUGCGAUUUGAAGUUACUUUUCUACAUGAUUUCUGUCAAACGUCACAAACAUUGUUUAUUCUGACACAAUAAAGUGAUCUAUUCAAUAAGAAUUUCCCUCCUAUAUGAGCUAGGCUCACUUCCUAUACAUCGACUAUCCCUCCUAUAUGAGCUAGCAGGCUCACUUCAUGACUCUCCCUCCUUAUAUGAGCUAGGCUCACUUCCUAUACAUUGACUGAGAUUGGAUAUAAAUAGGCUGGCCAAAUGUUUCCAGACACCUCAGAUGUCUCAAACAUGUAUUAGAAGCAGCUCCUUGAUAAAUUGUUCAGAUGGAUGUGCUUUCAUACUAACUUUUUGAAACUUAAUCUGCAGUUCUGCCAACUCCUGCAUGCUCAUAUUUUCAUUCUGCAUCCAGAGGCUGCUAAUCUGCACCCUCCAAUUGGAUAAGCUAUUGUGUUCUCAUAUAAAAAAAUUGUACUCCCUCCGUUCCUAAAUAUAAGUCUUUUAAAAUAUUUCACUAGGAGUCUACAUACGGAGCAAAAUGAGUGAAUCUACACUCUAAAGUAUGUCUAUAUACAUCCGUAUGUAGCCCACUAAUGAAACUUGUUUAAAGACUUAUAUUUAGGAACGGAGGGAGUAGUGAUUUACAGACAACAUAUAUGCUGCACCAAACUGUCUCAUCAUAUUGACUUUAUCAAGUCUUAUCCUCUAAUGUUUUCCUGCCACUACUAAUUUAAUAUUUUUAGCUGUACUAAUUUCAACCUUGUACUAGCAUUGUAAAUAACACUAAGGGGGGUAUUACUGGAGCUCCACUGGACCCACAAAAUAGAGGCAAUAUCUACUAACGCAAGCAGAGAAACAGAAUCAGAACAGAAACAGUAAAGCGUACCACUCAAUUCAUUAACCCGGAUAUAGAGGUUUUCCCCUUCUCCAUUGAACUUCUCUGUGUCAAUCAAAUCUCCGAUCCAUAAUAGGCACCUAGUCUGAUCCCCAUUGAUAACCUUGGUGCUCAUAUUGGUGUAAGCAUAUGCCGUGCAGGAGCAGUUGCUGGUGCAUUCUGCUAUGCAUUCGUCUAAGCUUCUAUUCUUGAUAUGCAAGAACUGGUCGGGAACCUUCAUCCUUGGCAAAUUUAAGAAGACAUCCCCUUCAUCACAUCUUAGUGCUUCCGUCCGGUGGCAUCCCUGCGAAAACCUGUGGGCCGUCCAGUUUUGUUUGUUGUUUGGCUCAAAGCCAUCAAGACACUUGCAUUUCACAAUAGCCUGCGUAUUGUCGCAGUAACCAAAUGGACCACAGUAUCCAAAUUUGUUGCAUUCCUGGUUAGGUUCUGACCCCAGAUCAGUCCAUUUGGACAUAGUGCUAUUCCAGACUCGUGUCUUUAUCUUGCCUGAGUAGUCCAUCUUUAUUAGCACUAAUGAGACACUUGGUACUGGUAGUCCAAAGGAAAUGUAGACCUCAUCAUCAAUAUUUUGCAGUGUGUAAUAAAUUGUAGACUUGAUACUCUCGACAUACUGCCCGGCUACCAAAUUGUUAUUCGAUACUGAACUUCGCCGGUAUGGUGUUGAGCCCUUCCAUAUAAUACACUGCCGAAACUCAUCAGGGUCUGCCCCAUAUGAGAAGCUGCCCGGGGAUGGGUCUUGGGGGCUUCUCCAAGAGAUGAGCCGUUGUAGUGCAUGCAUAUUUUGGGUGACCCUGAGGUUCAUACCUGGAAGGAGAGUGUCGGUCGGGUAAUCAAAGCUUUGCCAUAAGAUGAUGCCCUGUGAUGACCGAAGGAUAAAAUUCCCAUUGUUAUCAAGCGUGGCUUCUCCACCAGUUGCCUCUGACGAUGAAUUUCUUGCGGCGCUGAUAUUUGUCAUCCAGAGAAGCUGGCCGUUGGUGUCUGACAGAGCCAGUUUGGAUCCGUUUGUGAAGGCCAGUGUUGCAGAAGAAGGAUCAGCGAUCGGCAUAGCACGGUUGGCAACCCACACAACAUUGUCUUUAGGUAUGUUCCUGUACCAUAUUCCGAUGUAGUAAUGUUUUUUGCCGGAGCUGGACGGAGAGAAGAAUCCCAAGGUGAAAGUGCCGUCGUCGGAGGUGAUGGUGCUUCCAGCAGAAAGCGGCUUGUCGGGAAGAAGGCGGCUGCCGAAUGAUGCACAUACUGGGAAUAACCAAAAUGACCAACAAACAAAGCAGAUGAUUGUUUGUAUGGGAAGGGGAUCCAUUGUUGUAGGCCUGUAGCGAACUAUGGAAAUGGAAGAACGGAAGCAAAGCAGUUGAUGAGUUGCCUUUGGCCAAUGCAAAUCACAACUCCCGUUAGAGGCAGAGUCAGUUAAGCAUUUUAUCUGUGGCCCUUUUCCUGCAGGAAGCUACUGGGAAAGUGGGAACCUUGGAAGUAGUCAAGGAAAUAUAUUUACUAGGAAGUUUGAAAAUGUUGGGUUGUGGUUGUUAUCAUCUGGACUAUGAUGGCAAAUAGAAUAGCCAUUUACCUUUUCUUUUAGCCGUGACUUCUGGGUUUUCUUGUUUGAAUGUGCUGGUGGCUGGUACAAUUUUAGUUGGGUUGCAUAUGCUUAUGAACAGAACAAGCCCCUUGUUCCGGUUUUGGUACGUUACCUUAGAUGUUUUUUUAACGAACCUAUCUUUUGUGCAUAUAUGUAUGAGGUUGCAGGUAAAUGUGAACAUGAGUGGUGCAGGAAUGUUUUUCAUGGUCUUCCCUUUUGGCUGCAUCACCUAUUGUUUGACCGUGUAAACUAACUGGAUAAGUUAAAAACAUGGACAGAUCAGCUUCAGAGUUUAAAAUUAAUAACCAUGUUCAUCUAGCACUGCAGCCAUGGCAUGGCUGACUCUAGCUUCAGAGAUCGUUCUUGGCAACAGGCAUGGGUUUACUGCUUACUAGUAAGUGGCUAUUUACUCCUUGUGUAGGAUCUUCCAAAUUAUGCAUGUGUUCGACGUUAUUAUAUUUUGGGCGGAAAUUCAGAAAGCACGCCCAUUUCCUAAAACAACAUAAUUUGUAGGAAAUAUACUUAACUUAAUCUUCUAAAACAAACACAGUGGCGCCUAUAUCCAGUUGACCUACAAUUUCAAUGUUUUGUAGGCGAAACAUGGUUGGCAUACAACAAUUCUUUUGGAUAUUGUGAUAAAUUAUGGACAUUUAGGUCAUGCCAUCCUCAGAGGAGAGUAUUUAGAUACUUUGGCCAAGUAGGCAGAGUCUGUUUUUUAGAAAAACACAAGCUUCUUUUGUUCAUGUAGGGUAGCUUUGUGUACUGAUUAGUGUCAGGUCCCAUUUCUGGCAAGCCAGAGGACACAACAGUCAUCUAUUCAUGAUUACGGGUUUGGAUCACACGCAGAGUCAUUUAACUCGUUCAUGGUCCGAAGCAUCUUGUACUUACAUAAUUCUUGUUUGGUCUCUCUUGCAGUAACCUAACUGAUCAGGCCGCCCGUUACUGUUGUUUUUCUUUGGCAGGCUGGGGGUUCAUGGUUGUUGGCAUCUUCUGUGGCAUAUGCUUGGGAGCAUCUUGUUAUUCUAGCCUAAGCCCGUGCUUGGAUUCGUUGCAAUCAAAUACGGAGGUGUUUAUUUUACACCUGUAUCUUACGGGUCGCUCACCAAUUC
rnacentral:lncRNA from 1 species